rnacentral:rRNA from 1 species
AGUGAACGCUGGCGGUAGGCCUAACACAUGCAAGUCGAACGGCAGCACAGUAAGAGCUUGCUCUUACGGGUGGCGAGUGGCGGACGGGUGAGGAAUACAUCGGAAUCUACUUUUUCGUGGGGGAUAACGUAGGGAAACUUACGCUAAUACCGCAUACGACCUACGGGUGAAAGCAGGGGAUCUUCGGACCUUGCGCGAUUGAAUGAGCCGAUGUCGGAUUUGCUAGUUGGCGGGGUAAAGGCCCACUAAGGCGACGAUCCGUAGCUGGUCUGAGAGGAUGAUCGCCCACACUGGAACUGAGACACGGUCAAGACUCCUACGGGAGGCAGCAGUGGGGAAUAUUGGACAAUAGGCGCAAGCCUGAUCCAGCCAUACCGCGUGUGUGAAGAAGGCGUUCGGGUUGUAAAGACCUUUUGUUGGGAAAGAAAAGCAGCAGGUUAAGACCACGCUGUUCUGACGGUACCCAAUGAAGAAGCACCGGCUAACUUCGUG